AUAUCCAUUUUGUAGGUUUAGCAUUCAAUUUUAUGUGUUUUAAAUCUGAUGCGCCAAGUGAUGAUGAUAUCUUUAUGAUUAAUCGAUUCGUCU
rnacentral:sRNA from 1 species